GAUGAACGCUGGCGGCGUGCCUAAUACAUGCAAGUCGAGCGAACGGACGAGAAGCUUGCUUCUCUGAUGUUAGCGGCGGACGGGUGAGUAACACGUGGAUAACCUACCUAUAAGACUGGGAUAACUUCGGGAAACCGGAGCUAAUACCGGAUAAUAUUUUGAACCGCAUGGUUCAAAAGUGAAAGACGGUCUUGCUGUCACUUAUAGAUGGAUCCGCGCUGCAUUAGCUAGUUGGUAAGGUAACGGCUUACCAAGGCAACGAUGCAUAGCCGACCUGAGAGGGGGAGCCGCACAAAGGGAAAUGAGGAACGGGCCAGACCCCGAAGGGGGGCAGAAAGAAGGAAUCUUCCCGAAAGGGGGAAAGGCUGGAGGAGAAAAGGCGGGGGAGUGAGGAAGGUCUGUGGAUCGUAAAACCCUGUUAAUAGGGAAAAAAAAAUGGGGAAGUAAAGGGGCAAAUCUGGACGGGACCAAAUCAGAAAGCCAAGGCUAAAUACG
rnacentral:rRNA from 1 species